rnacentral:misc_RNA from 1 species
AGUUUCCGCCUCCCCUCUCUCCGAUCCCCAUGGCCUCCGCCGCGCUUCUCUCGCUCUCCGCCGCCCUCCUUCUCCUCUCUCUCCUCUCCGGCGCGGUCGCGAGGCCCGGCCCCUGCAAAACUCUCUUCAUCUCCUACACCAUCACCUCCUCCGACCCCACCCUCGACCUCUCCACCGCCGACCCUAGCCCCUACGCCUCGUUCGCCGUCUUCCGCGUCGUCCGCCCCCUCCGCCCCUACUACUACUCUGCCUCCUCCUUCCACUCCCUCCGCCGCCCAAUCCGCCUCGAUCGCCCCCACAUCGAUUCCGAUCCCGCCGUUGCGGCGAUCAGCUCGCUCCAGGAGCGUGCCAAGGACAUCUUGUUCGUCGUCGUCGGCCUCCUUUUCGGCGUCGGCUGCGGCGCGCUGACCGCCGCCACGAUCUACCUGGCGUGGUCGCUCGUCAUGAAUCGGUAUGAGGUGUGCGGAUCUGAGGGGUUUUCUGAUGGGGAGGACGACGAGAGCCCGAAGAAGAUGGGAUAUGUGAAGAUUGCGGGUCCUGCUCCGGCGGCGGUGAAGGAGGGGUAUGAGGGGAACUAGGGUUAGGGUUUCCGGUUUCAUUGAUCUUACUGAUGGAGAUCUAGUAAGCUGAUACAUACUUAUAUGUGUAUUUAUAUUUUGCUUUGCUUCCGUUGUUUGAUGUUUGACUUGUGUUGCUGCUGCUGCUGCAAAUCUAUAUAUCGAAUCUAUCUUAUGUCGAUGCUGU